rnacentral:lncRNA from 1 species
UCCCUGAAAAGCAUGGAGCAGAGGUGUAGACGUUUGAUUAAGUGCUUCCUAAGCUUGAUGGUCGAGCCUUGUUUCAGCUGCUGAAUUUGCUGUGUGCAGCCUGGCAUUGUUCUCAGGAGGGUCUUUCAUAUGUGUCUGAGGACAUAAGGACAGAUGAGAAGCAGGCCAGGGGAGAAGUGAUCUCUGCCUCCCCACCUCACACCCACAUGGCACAGGAGGACAGGGUUGACUGCAUCGGUGUCCCUGUGGGAAGGGCUUGCUCCCAUCAACUUGCUUCUUCUUGGAAAGCUAGAAUCCUGCAGCUGGAUUGACCAGCACAAAGACCUUUGUGCUGGCUGAAUAGCAAGGGACCUUCAUGUGACUGGCAAGUGACUUGAUUUCCCAUGGGUUGCAUCAUGUUUUGGGGCACGAGGUUGAAUCACAAGAAGAAAUCAAGACUAAUAGUGGAAAAGCCUGAAAUGUCUUGCAUAGAGCUGGACUGUUUGCAGCUCAGGAUGUUUGCCAUCACAACGGCAGAGCCGCAGUUCACACCCAGGCACGUUCUCCCCAAGACCUGUGGCUGCAACCACUGCUAUGCAUGGAAUGUGAGACGGACGGUGCUCGCCUAGCCAACAGUUGAUGCUGAAUACAUCUUCAUCUGUGUAUUGACCAUCUACCCUUUUCCCAUGAUUUGUUUGUCAAAAUUCCUUGCUAAUUUCCUUAUUAAAAAUGGUCAGUAUUUUAAUUCUCCUGAUUCAUGAUAAUUUCUUUGACAAGGAAAUUAAUACUUUGUUAAAUGAGUACAAAUAUUUUUAAACAAUCUGUUUUACUUUUAAUCUUUGUUUAUGGUGAUAUUUUGGGCAUACAAAGGUCUUUAAUAUCCAUGUUAUUAAAUUCACAAAUAUUUCCCUUUGUGGAUUUUGGGUUUCAGUUUAUAAUUCUAAACAUAUUCUCCACUCCAUGAUUACAAAAUAAAAAUAAAACAACACUGGUAUUUUAAU